CGUAACGCGUAUGCAACCUACCCACAACUGGAGCAUAGCCCGGAGAAAUUCGGAUUAAUACUCCAUAAUGCAGGGGUACCUCCUGGUACUAUUUGCUAAAGAUUUAUUGGUUGUGGAUGGGCAUGCGUCUGAUUAGUUUGUUGGUGAGGUAACGGCUCACCAAGACCACGAUCAGUAGGGGGUCUGAGAGGAUGAUCCCCCACACUGGCACUGAGAUACGGGCCAG
rnacentral:rRNA from 1 species